GACAGAGGGUGCAAACGUUGUUCGGAAUUACUGGGCGUAAAGCGCGUGUAGGCGAUCGUGCAAGUCGGAUGUGAAAUCCCUCGGCUCAACCAAGGAAGUGCAUCCGAAACUGCGGAGCUUGAGUACUUAAGAGGAUCGCGGAAUUCCCGGUGUAGAGGUGAAAUUCGUAGAUAUCGGGAGGAACACCAGUGGCGAAGGCGGCGAUCUGGGAAGAUACUGACGCUGAGGUGCGAAAGCGUGGGGAGCAAACAGG
rnacentral:rRNA from 1 species